GGGCGGGUGGCGAAACUGGCAGACGCGCUACGUUCAGGUCGUAGUUCCAGCAAUGGAAUGCAGGUUCAACUCCUGUCCCGCCCA
rnacentral:tRNA from 1 species